GGUGGCUCAGUGGUAGAGUGCUUGCUUUGCAUGCAUGAGGUCCUGGGUUCAAUUCCUCAGCACCA
rfam:Dipodomys ordii contig_55487, whole genome shotgun sequence.